AAUCGAACCCGGAGAUAGCUGGUUCUCCUCGAAAUAGCUUUAGGGCUAGCCUCAUACAAGUCUGCCGGAGGUAGAGCACUGAAUUUCCGCGGGGGCGUCAAAGCCUACCAAAGAAUAUCAAACUCCGAAUGCCGGACAGAUGGUGUAUGGGAGUCAGACUGUACGAGAUAAGUUGGACAGUCAAAAGGGAAAGAGCCCAGACCGCCGGCUAAGGUCCCAAAGUGGGUGUUAAGUGGAAAAGGAUGUGGGAUCUCUAAGACAACCAGGAUGUUGGCUCAGAAGCAGCCAUUCAUUAAAAGAGUGCGUAACAGCUCACUGGUCGAGAGGUCCUGCGCCGAAAAUGUCCGGGGCUGAAACACCACACCGAAGCCGCGGAACCCGUAAGGGUUGGUAGAGGAGCAUUCUUAGGGGAGCGAAGCAUUACCGGAAGGGGAUGUGGACCGCUAAGAAGAGAGAAUGCCGGAAUGAGUAGCGAGAGCAAGGUGGGAAUCCUUGCGGCCGAAUAUCCAAGGUUUCCAGAGUAAAGCUGAUCUGCUCUGGGUAAGUCGGGGCCUAAGGAGAGGCAGAGAUGCGUAUCCGAUGGACAGCAGGUUUAAGAUUCCUGCACCCCUUGUUAUCAGAACUGCGGGGACACGGGAAGGGAAGCAGAGCCGGGAAUGGAAAGCCCGGUGCAAGCGAAGUAGUCGCAGGGCUGGAAAAUCCGCCCUGCAUGAGACGAAGGCGUGAUGCGGAGCGAAAUGAAGUAGUGAAGCUGCGGCCCCUUCCUGUCGAGAAAAGCCGCUAUCGUGUAGCAAGGGCCCGUACCGUAAACCGACACAGGUGGAUGAGGAGAGGAUCCUAAGGCCGGCGGGAGAAGUGUUGUUAAGGAACUCGGCAAAAUGACUCCGUAACUUCGGGAGAAGGAGUGCUGCGCAAGCAGCCGCAGAGAAAUGGCCCAAGCAACUGUUUAGCAAAAACACAGGUCUAUGCGAAACCGAAAGGUGAGGUAUAUGGGCUGACGCCUGCCCGGUGCUGGAAGGUUAAGGGGAGAGGUUAGCGCAAGCGAAGCUUUGAACUUAAGCCCCAGUAAACGGCGGCCGUAACUAUAACGGUCCUAAGGUAGCGAAAUUCCUUGUCGGGUAAGUUCCGACCCGCACGAAAGGCGUAAUGAUUUGGGCACUGUCUCAACAACACACCCGGUGAAAUUGAAAUACCAGUGAAGAUGCUGGUUACCCGCGCCAGGACGGAAAGACCCCAUGGAGCUUUACUCCAGCCUGAUACUGGGAUUCGGUAUUGCAUGUACAGGAUAGGUGGGAGGCUAAGAACUCAUGGCGCCAGCCGUGAGGGAGCCGGUGUUGGGAUACCACCCCUGCAGUACUGGGUUUCUAACCUGCGCCCGUGACCCGGGCGGGGGACAAUGUCAGGCGGGGAGUUUGACUGGGGCGGUCGCCUCCGAAAGGGUAUCGGAGGCGCUCAAAGGUUCCCUCAGAAUGGUUGGAAACCAUUCGAAGAGUGCAAAGGCAGAAGGGAGCUUGACUGCGACACCGACGG
rnacentral:rRNA from 1 species